AGGAAAGCAUUGGAAGAGAGGAUAACUGUAGUCAAGGAAAGUCAAAGAGUGCUAUAAAUGAGGUAGGAAUUCAAGAGGCCAGAUGAAGAGCAGUCAGUAGGGCUGGCACGGACAGUCUGAAAAUCCUUCUCUUGAGUAACCAAACACACAGCUAUCGUUUAUUUGAGCAACAGUGAAGUCUAUGCUGCAAGUGAACCUGGGUAACCCGAGGCACAGGGCCAAACAUCUGGUAACAAUAAGAUCAACACAACGGUAGAAGAAGAUCAAGAAUCCUGUAACCAUAAGAACCUCGGGCAGUCUUCAGUACUGAUGCGUGCCAAGAUAUAUUUGGGCAAGAGAAUAUGGAUGGAAUGUUCAUCUCUUCACCAGAGGGUGACAUGGAAUGCCAGUGAGUCAGGUUUUGUCAGAAGACAGUAUCGAGUUGCAAAUAAGAAGAUUAUCUGCAGAGUAUCUUGUACCUUGAAGUUACUUGGAGGUGAGUCUAAAUUUUGUAUGGUGACACAUGAACCAUAAGCAAGAGAUCAUAUUCAGAAUAGUUCCUUUGGGAGACUGAAGGUUUAUUCUAAUAAUACUGUGAUUGCUCAACAUCUUUUAGGAACUUCCUUUAAAAACUUUGAAAAAUAAUUCUCUUUGUAGGUGAAUAUUAUUUUGAAAACAGGCAAAAGUUAUCCACACUUUCGUGUCGUGAAUGAAUAUGUGUUAUUAACAAAGUAAUGCAGUGUUUUGAAAAGAAAAUAAGGCAUACUAAUGAAAUCACUGGUAUUUUGGAGUUGCUUAAAAUCUGACUGAAAUCAGUGCCAUUAGAAGUCACAAAAAUAUCUUUAUCAGAACAAUACUGUGAAAAUAUGUAAAAUGCUUUCUAGAAGGACUAAUUUGGGAAACAACACUCAUGUAAAUGCAUAAGGUCUGGCCUGCUUGUUCCAGAAAAGUCUUGGAACUUUAAAAUAUGAAUCCCAUAGGGGCGCCUGGGUGGCUCAGUCAGUUGAACAUCCAACUUUGGUUCAGGUCAUGAUCUCAAAGUUCGUUAGUUCGAACCCCGCAUCAGGCUCUGAUGCUUGCUGCUGUCCGCGCAGAGCCGCUUCAGACCCCCUGUCUCCCUCUCUCUGCC